rnacentral:rRNA from 1 species
GCAGAGCAUCCUACGGGAGGCAGCAGUGGGGAAUAUUGCACAAUGGGCGCAAGCCUGAUGCAGCCAUGCCGCGUGUAUGAAGAAGGCCUUCGGGUUGUAAAGUACUUUCAGCAGUGAGGAAGGUGGAUAUGUUAAUAGCAUAUUCAUUUGACGUUAGCUGCAGAAGAAGCACCGGCUAACUCCGUGCCAGCAGCCGCGGUAAUACGGAGGGUGCGAGCGUUAAUCGGAAUUACUGGGCGUAAAGCGCAUGCAGGUGGUUUGUUAAGUCAGAUGUGAAAGCCCGGGGCUCAACCUCGGAAUUGCAUUUGAAACUGGCAAACUAGAGUACUGUAGGAGGGGGUAGAAUUUCAGGUGUAGCGGUAGAAAUGCGUAGAGAUCUGAAGGAAUACCGGUGGCGAAGGCCGGCCCCCUGGACAGAUACUGACACUCAGAUGACGAAAGCGGUGGGGAGCAAACAGGAUUAGAUACCCUGGUAG